rnacentral:rRNA from 1 species
GAUCCGGAGAUUUCCGAAUGGGGAAACCCACUGCUCGUAAUGGAGUAGUAUCCAUACUUGAAUACAUAGAGUAUGAGAAGGCAUACCCGGGGAACUGAAACAUCUAAGUACCCGGAGGAAGAGAAAGCAAAUGCGAUUCCCUGAGUAGCGGCGAGCGAAACGGGAACAGCCCAAACCAAGAGGCUUGCCUCUUGGGGUUGUAGGACACUCUAUACGGAGUUACAAAGGAACGAUAUAAGCGAAGAGGUCUGGAAAGGCCCGCCAAAGAAGGUAACAGCCCUGUAACUGAAAUGUUGUUCUCUCCAGA